AUAAUGUACUUUAUAAGUCUGUGCUUGACUUCCGCUAAGCCUUUCAUUGUUCUUGAACCUUCUUGGUUGUGCCAGCGCCGAGCUUACUAUCACCUAGGAGAUGCUGGGUCUAUUGUUGCAAGUGCUGGGGAAGCCAUGGAAUGUAGCUACAGACCAAGUCCUGCCAUGAUGUUGAGUCUAAAGGCAGAUGCAGUGUGAGAAAGUAAUGCUGCAUGCCCACUGAUGGAGAAUGUGGAGCAGCAGAUAUCUUGCACUAAACUGAAACUUCCCUGGUGUGUUCAGUGUAAUCCUGCCAGGCCGGAUAAGUUGCCCGAGGUGUCACUCCACAGCCAUGGUGCAACUGUCGGCUCAACUUGAUUAAAGCUGUAAACGCAGGUCGCAUGGGCUCAGUCUUUGGGGCCUGCUCAGUCCAUGAUGUGUAAGGGCUGUCCCACUGCCAAAUUGAAGGCUCUAGCUGACAUUUUGAGCCCAUCAUGAACCCAGUGGUAUCAUAAAAAUGUAAAUGACACAGGCAGAGUGUCUUAUCAGAUGCACAGCGUGGAACUAAUGCUGCUGUCCCACUGAUGGUAAGUGUGACCUAUCCAGUUGUUAGUUGUACUAACUUUAAUGUUAAUGCAGUGAUGACUCUAAAUCAAACACAUCAUGCUGACGACACCAUGGUGAACCAUAAACCCUGAGCAUAUUGGCUCACGGUUGGCAGUGAUCAAUAGGUUACUUUCCGUUUUACGGACAUUUUAUUUCUCUACAGGAGUAUGGAGCAGCUGGCCUGCUUUCAGUGAAUUGAGACUUCUUUGGUAUGUAUGACUUCCUAUCGAUCUGGAAUUAAAAGGGAUGCGCACUAUAUGCAUGUAGAUGUAAACCCAAUUGUGUACUCUCAUGGCAGAGGCCUCCUCUCUGCUGUGGAAUCUUAACAUUGGCAGAAAAACCUCAGGACUUGGCACAGGUUUAUGUAUUAAAAAAACCGAUUACCAGAACCUGACUUAAGACCUGAAACACUUCUAUGACACUCAACUUGGUUGUUGGCUGUUGAGUGAUACUAGUGAUGCUUUUUGUGGUUUCUCGUGUGUGCAGUGUAAUCCUGCCAGGCUGAACAAGUUUCAUCUCAUGCCACCUGCUGGGAUCUACCUAGGUUGUCAGUACACCGCCAUGGUGCAACCCUGUCGACCCAACCUGAUCAAGGAUAUUUACAUUUAAUGUUGCCGUAAUAAAGUUUUCUUUGUGUAGAAGCCU